AUGUUUGUAUUUAAAGUUAUAUAUAUUCUCAUGCUUUGUAUAUGCACAAAUAUACUGAAAUUUGAGAUAUUGGGGAUGUUCGUUGGAAAUUAUCUCUGUACGAAUGGGACAAGGCGGAUUUGAUUUUGGAAAUGAGUAUAAUAAUCUAUUAAAUUUCUCUAUGCAGUUUUGGGAUAACUUUCGUUUUUGCAUUUUACCCUGUAUUUCGGGAUCAUCAACUACUAUAUCCAACUGCGAAACAUAAUCUAUGAUUUCUUAUUUCAAAGAAGAUAGAAAAGUCCAACUUUGAGUUUUCUUAUUGUUAGGGUGUUUUCCAUGCGGGAAAUCGCAAUCCAUUCUAUUUUUUUUUUACCUAUUUAUACCAAGUAUAAUGCCGAGUUACUAAUGAAUUCUUUUUUUUCAUUUUCGGUUCCUUUUAUUUGAGGAUUGGUGUUGAAUAAGAAUUAUUUCUACCGCCUCUGUGAAAGAGAAUAAAACGCUACCAAGGAAUCAUAUGCAAAUACCUCGUUUGCUAUUUCAAUAUCCUAACAUUUUCGACAGACAUUGAUGUGCCCUGCAUUUUAAUGGACUGACAGGGACAUUGGUGUGAAAAUAUGAAUUUAUUUAUUUAUGAAAAGUUCAAUUUCAUUGUUAAUACCGGUGUAUAUGCCUUUGCUUCAUCAGAUUAGCAGACGAUUGUCUAAUGGCAUUUAAAUUUUAUUUAAACGAAGCUAAUCAUAUAAAUCAUCUGAUUAAAUAGAAUGAACCCUUAAAAUCCAAAUAAACAAAAAAAUCAGCUGUUUAGCUAAAACAACUUUAAACUAGGAAUCACACUAUCUUGAAGAGAUAUCGAGCUUAUUGAGAUUAUGAAAUAUCAGAUUCUUUCCGCAUGUGUAAAUUUAAUUAAGCUACAAAGAUACGCACAUGGCCGAUCUGUUAAAGACUAAGUAAAGUUUUUGCUGGUUGUUUUUAAGUCUUUUAUUAAAAUUUUGCUCAUAAUGAGUAUUACGGGGAACAAAUAUGGUAAAGAUGGAUUUGAAGUGUUGUAAGUCAAUGCACACAUCAAAACAACGGCUUUUACUUGUUAGGUUUGUAAGUGAAGAUUAAUAAACUAGAAAGACAUUUGAAAACUUGACAAAGUGUGAGAAACUUGUACAUAUACAUAUACAUAAGUGGGUACAUAUAU